GUAGGUGAACCUGCGGAAGGAUCAUUAUCAAUUUUACAGUCCUGGGAUGGGGGUAAAAACUCCAUCCCAUGCUGUUCAACCCUUUGUCUUUUGCGUACUGUAUGUUUCCUCGGCGGGUUCGCCCACCGAUAGGACACUUCAAAACCUUUUGUAAUUGCAAUCAGCGUCAGAAAAACUAUAAUAGUUACAACUUUCAACAACGGAUCUCUUGGUUCUG
rnacentral:misc_RNA from 1 species